rnacentral:lncRNA from 1 species
AUCAUUUCUCCCACGUAAGACUUUUCUCCCAAAAUAUUCCCCCGCCUAAAAGCUUUCCUCCAAAAUAUUACCUCACAUCUCCCAAAAUAUUCCCCCGCCUAAAAUCUUUCCCACAAAAUAUUAUAUCACAUAACACCUUCCCUCAAAUAAAAUUCUCCAACAUAACACACAAAAAUGACACAGAAGGGAGAACUACAAAUAGACGGAAAAAUUCAAAAAAAGCAAAAAGAAAACGAAAAGAAGGCUGCACAAAACCAAACGGAAAAAGUCACACACGCAAAAUAAAAAACGCCAAAAGUUAAAGAGAACAAAACUUGGCGUGAUCAAACAGUGAUCAUAUUCCACACUGAAGAAACGAAAAGGAGCUGACCCAUCCGAUGUUACGCGGCGAACUCUGACGAUGGAUUUUCCGGCAAACCCAUCCGAGCAGAGUAGCGGAUUUCACAGGUUGUUUACGCUGCUGUCCAGCAGCUGGUUCUGCUUUACCUCGUCAGCCAUUGACGCACCCCGCUGCACACACACACUCUGAGAACAGUGAGGCGUUCAGAAGCUCGUUUAACACUUUUCUGGCGAGUAUCGAAUUUUUUCUUCCUGAUCGAGUUUCGACGACUGUUCUGUUGGUUCCGUCGAGGUUCGAGUGUCGUCGACAAGAUUCCGCCCCAUCGAGGUCCUGAACUGGUGUCUCGUUUGCUCUUGGAUCACAUACUGGAAAGCUCAAUAAUUUGUUCAAGCUGAAGCUCAUAUUAUUGUCGCAACAAAAAAAAGGGUGAAAUCCUUAAUAUCCAAUUCUAGAUAGCUGAUGGUUCAAUAUUAUAUGCAAAUGGAGGCUUGUUUCUAUCUGUGUGUGUUUCUGUAUGUAUAUGUAUAAUUUUGAUUCAAAGUUGUGGUAUUUUGGUUAAGUUUGAUUUUUGUAAUAAAUUUGAAUUUGGGUUUAUAUGUUUGCCUGUUGGUUGCCAUAUCAUCUUAUGGGAUUUUGUUUAUUUUUACUUCAAGUAGCAAUAUAGCUAUGAUUAUUCGGGAAAUCAGUUACUCGUUU